GACGAACGCUGGCGGCGUGCUUAACACAUGCAAGUCGAACGGUGAAAGCGGAGCUUGCUCCGCUGGAUCAGUGGCGAACGGGUGAGUAACACGUGGGCAACCUGCCCCUCACUUCGGGAUAACUCCGGGAAACCGGGGCUAAUACCGGAUAUGACCUCCUUGGGCAUCCUUGGAGGUGGAAAGUUUUUCGGUGAGGGAUGGGCCCGCGGCCUAUCAGGUUGUUGGUGAGGUAGGGGCUCACCAAGGCGACGACGGGUAGCCGGCCUGAGAGGGCGACCGGCCACACUGGGACUGAGACACGGCCCAGACUCCUACGGGAGGCAGCAGUGGGGAAUAUUGCGCAAUGGGCGAAAGCCUGACGCAGCAACGCCGCGUGCGGGAUGACGGCCUUCGGGUUGUAAACCGCUUUCAGCAGGGAAGAAGCCGCAAGGUGACGGUACCUGCAGAAGAAGCACCGGCUAACUACGUGCCAGCAGCCGCCGUAA
rnacentral:rRNA from 1 species